rnacentral:other from 1 species
ACGGUUAUAAAUCAACAUAUUGAUUUAUAAGCAUGGAAAUCCCCUGAGUGAAACAACGAAUUGCUGUGUGUAGUCUUUGCCCAUCUCCCACACUCUUUCCAAU